ACUCAGCUAAUGAGUUCCAAAUAGAACGAAACGCGUGUCGUGGAU
rfam:Schistosoma margrebowiei strain Zambia genome assembly, scaffold: SMRZ_contig0007143